rnacentral:rRNA from 1 species
GACGAACGCUGGCGGCGUGCUUAACACAUGCAAGUCGAACGGAAAGGCCCUGCUUUUGGGGGGUGCUCGAGUGGCGAACGGGUGAGUAACACGUGAGUAACCUGCCCUUGACUUUGGGAUAACUUCAGGAAACUGGGGCUAAUACCGGAUAGGAGCUCCUGCUGCAUGGUGGGGGUUGGAAAGUUUCGGCGGUUGGGGAUGGACUCGCGGCUUAUCAGCUUGUUGGUGGGGUAGUGGCUUACCAAGGCUUUGACGGGUAGCCGGCCUGAGAGGGUGACCGGCCACAUUGGGACUGAGAUACGGCACAGACUCCUACGGGAGGCAGCAGUGGGGAAUAUUGCACUAUGGGCGGAAGCCUGAUGCAGCAACGCCGCGUGCGGGAUGACGGCCUUCGGGUUGUAAACCGCUUUCGCCUGUGACGAAGCGUGAGUGACGGUAAUGGGUAAAGAAGCCCCGGCUAACUACGUG